UACGUGAGGGGCUAGCGUUGUCCGGAUUUAUUGGGCGUAAAGAGCGUGUAGGCGGCCAGGGUAGGUCUGCUGUGAAAACUCGAGGCUCAACCUCGAGACGUCGGCGGAAACCAUCUGGCUAGAGUCCGGAAGAGGAUGAGUGGAAAUUCCUGGGUGGUAGCGGUGAAAUGCGCAGAUAUCAGGAAGAACACCCGUGGCGAAGGCGGCUCUCUGGGACGGUACUGAGCUGAG
rnacentral:rRNA from 1 species